rnacentral:rRNA from 1 species
AUUGAACGCUGGCGGCAGGCUUAACACAUGCAAGUCGAGCGGUAACAGAGAGUGCUUGCACUCUGCUGACGAGCGGCGGACGGGUGAGUAAUGCUUGGGAAUAUGCCUUUGAGUGGGGGACAACAGUUGGAAACGACUGCUAAUACCGCAUAACGUCUACGGACCAAAGGGGGGGAUUCUUCGGAACCUCUCGCUCAUUGAUUAGCCCAAGUGAGAUUAGCUAGUUGGUAAGGUAAUGGCUUACCAAGGCGACGAUCUCUAGCUGGUUUGAGAGGAUGAUCAGCCACACUGGGACUGAGACACGGCCCAGACUCCUACGGGAGGCAGCAGUGGGGAAUAUUGCACAAUGGGCGAAAGCCUGAUGCAGCCAUGCCGCGUGUGUGAAGAAGGCCUUCGGGUUGUAAAGCACUUUCAGUUGUGAGGAAAGGAGUGUAGUUAAUAGCUGCAUUCUAUGACGUAGCAACAGAAGAAG